rnacentral:rRNA from 1 species
AACGAACGCUGGCGGCAUGCCUAACACAUGCAAGUCGAACGAGACCUUCGGGUCUUGUGGCGCACGGGUGCGUAACGCGUGGGAACCUGCCCUUAGGUUCGGAAUAACUCCCCGAAAGGGGUGCUAAUACCGGAUAAUGUCUUCGGACCAAAGAUUUAUCGCCUUUGGAUGGGCCCGCGUUGGAUUAGCUAGUUGGUAGGGUAAAAGCAUACCAAGGCGACGAUCCAUAGCUGGUCUGAGAGGAUGCUCAGUCACACUGGGACUGAGACGCGGCCCAGACUCCUACGGGAGGCGGCAGUGGGGAAUAUUGGACAAUGGGCGAAGGCCUGAUCCAGCAAGGCCGCGUGAGUGAUGAAGGCCUUAGGGUUGUAAAGCUCUUUUACCCGGGAUGAUAAUGACAGUACCGGGAGAAUAAGCUCCGGCUAACUCCGUG